CUCAGUGAAAUGCUGGCUGUGCAAUAUGCUCUCAUGUAGCCUGUAGUACGCUGCUUUUCAUUGGACGAUAUUUGUGUCAGCACGCGGGUGUGUAUCUAUUUAUAGUGUGUCAGGCAGCGAGGGGUCCAGCACUGAAACGGUGUGGAGAUUCGACAGCAGUUGAAAUUCCAGUAAGUUGGCACAUGAGAACAUGGACGUUCUGUUGGUGGAGUUGUCUGCACUUUCACUCUGGCUGUUUGGUGGCGUGGGGUUUACCAUCGCUCUAUACAGAGGAAGCCUACAUACGCCGAGGUGACGAAGUUAGAGUACCUGGAGAACGUGUUCAUGGAAACUCUGAGACUGUAUCCUCCGGCAACCAGAACAAAGCGAGUUGGA